CGGUUACAUUCCGAACCCGGUAGCUAAGCCCUCCAGCGCCGAUGGUACUGCACUCGGGAGGGUGUGGGAGAGUAGGACGCCGCCGGAC
rnacentral:rRNA from 2 species